rnacentral:rRNA from 1 species
GACGAACGCUGGCGGCGUGCUUAACACAUGCAAGUCGAGCGGUAAGGCCCUUUCGGGGGUACGACGAGCGGCGAACGGGUGAGUAACACGUGGGUGACCUGCCCUCAGCUCUGGGAUAAGCCCGGGAAACUGGGUCUAAUACCGGAUAUGACUCCAUGACGCAUGUUGUGGGGUGGAAAGCCUUGUGCGGCUGAGGAUGGGCCCGCGGCCUAUCAGCUUGUUGGUGGGGUGAUGGCCUACCAAGGCGACGACGGGUAGCCGGCCUGAGAGGGCGACCGGCCACACUGGGACUGAGAUACGGCCCAGACUCCUACGGGAGGCAGCAGUGGGGAAUCUUGCGCAAUGGGCGAAAGCCUGACGCAGCGACGCCGCGUGAGGGAUGACGGCCU